rnacentral:rRNA from 1 species
GAGCGGCAGACGGGUGAGUAACGCGUGGGAAUCUACCUGGAACUACGGAAUAACACAGAGAAAUUUGUGCUAAUACCGUAUACGCCCUAUUGGGGAAAGAUUUAUCGGUUCCGGAUGAGCCCGCGUUGGAUUAGCUUGUUGGUAGGGUAAUGGCCUACCAAGGCGACGAUCCAUAGCUGGUCUGAGAGGAUGAUCAGCCACACUGGGACUGAGACACGGCCCAGACUCCUACGGGAGGCAGCAGUGGGGAAUAUUGGACAAUGGGCGCAAGCCUGAUCCAGCCAUGCCGCGUGAGUGAUGAAGGCCUUAGGGUUGUAAAGCUCUUUCACCGGUGAAGAUAAUGACGGUAACCGGAGAAGAAGCCCCGGCUAACUUCGUGCCAGCAGCCGCGGUAAUACGAAGGGGGCUAGCGUGUUCGGAUUCACUGGGCGUAAAGCGCACGUAGGCGGAUAUUUAAGUCAGAGGUGAAAUCCCGGGGCUCAACCCUGGAACUGCCUUUGAUACUGGAUGUCUUGAGUGCAGAAGAGGUAAGUGGAAUUCCGAGUGUAGAGGUGAAAUUCGUA